CCUACGGGUGGCAGCAGUGGGGAAUAUUGGACAAUGGGGGGAACCCUGAUCCAGCGACGCCGCGUGAGUGAAGAAGUAUUUCGGUAUGUAAAGCUCUAUCAGCAGGGAAGAAAAUGACGGUACCUGACUAAGAAGCCCCGGCUAACUACGUGCCAGCAGCCGCGGUAAUACGUAGGGGGCAAGCGUUAUCGGGAUUUACUGGGUGUAAAGGGAGCGUAGACGGCGAUGCAAGUCUGAAGUGAAAGGCGGGGCCCAACCCCCGGACUGCUUUGGAAACUGUAUGGCUGGAGUGCAGGAGAGGUAAGUGGAAUUCCUGGUGGAGCGGUGAAAUGCGUAGAUAUUAGGAGGAACACCAGUGGCGAAGGCGGCUUACUGGACUGUAACUGACGUUGAGGCUCGAAAGCGUGGGGAGCAAACAGGAUUAGAUACCCGAGUAGUC
rnacentral:rRNA from 1 species